rnacentral:rRNA from 1 species
CAGUCGCCGCGGUAAUACGUAGGGUGCAAGCGUUAAUCGGAAUUACUGGGCGUAAAGCGUGCGCAGGCGGUUUGUUAAGACAGAUGUGAAAUCCCCGGGCUCAACCUGGGAACUGCAUUUGUGACUGGCAAGCUAGAGUCUGGCAGAGGGGGGUGGAAUUCCGCGUGUAGCAGUGAAAUGCGUAGAUAUGCGGAGGAACACCGAUGGCGAAGGCAGCCCCCUGGGCCAACACUGACGCUCAUGCACGAAAGCGUGGGGAGCAAACAGGAUUAGAUACCCCAGUAGUCCCUGUCUUUUAUAC